rnacentral:rRNA from 1 species
GGAUAUUGCGCAAUGGGGGAAACCCUGACGCAGCAACGCCGCGUGAAGGAAGAAGGCCUUCGGGUUGUAAACUUCUUUGAUCGGGGACGAAGAUGACGGUACCCGAGGAACAAGCACCGGCUAACUACGUGCCAGCAGCCGCGGUAAUACGUAGGUGGCAAGCGUGGUCCGGAAUUACUGGGUGUAAAUGGCGUGUAGGCGGGGGAGCAAGUCAGAUGUGAAAUUCCUAGGCUUAACCUGGGCGCUGCAUCUGAAACUGUUUCUCUUGAGUGCUGGAGAGGAAAGUGGAAUUCCUAGUGUAGCGGUGAAAUGCGUAGAGAUUAGGAGGAACACCAGUGGCGAAGGCGGCUUUCUGGACAGUAACUGACGCUGAGGCGCGAAAGCGUGGGGAGCAAACA